UACGGAGGAGGCAAGCGUUGUUCGGAAUCACUGGGCUUAAAGCGCGUGUAGGCGGCCUCGCAAGUACUUUGUGAAAUCCCUCGGCUCAACCGAGGAAUUGCUGGGUAUACUGCGAAGCUUGAGGCGGGUAGAGGUGCCUGGAACUCUAGGUGGAGCGGUGAAAUGCGUAGAUAUCUAGAGGAACGCCUGUGGCGAAAGCGGGGCACUGGGCCCGCCCUGACGCUGAGACGCGAAAGCGUAGGUAGCAAACGGG
rnacentral:rRNA from 1 species